ACCCAAAUGCGACGCAAGGGCAGCAGAGAUAGGAGAGGGGAAAGAAACUGAAGAGACCGAGGUUUUGCCCCCAAAUCCCCCACCCCUCACGCGCACCUCGCCGCCGCCGCUCCCUCCCUCCCUCCCUUCCUCCACCAAACCCCCGUCGCCGCCGCGGCGCAGCACCGUAGUCGCCCCCCAAUGGCGACUGCCGCUGGCCCCGUGGGCGGGCUGCCGGCGAAGGACGAGAUUACGGAUGUGGAAAUGGAGAUCAUGGAGCAGCCGGAGGAGGCGGCGGAGCGGGCGGGGCUGAAGAGGCCCUGGAGCUCCGCGAGCGGCAACGGUUCUCACGGUUUUAUUGGAGUGACUACUGCUGCAAAGAAACCAACACUGCUGCCUCAUAACAAUGUCAAAUGUCUGAAGAAAGUUGGCAAUGGCAAUCUUCUACAUCCGGAUAUGCCAGAUACUAAUGCUUUGAGAUUUAGUUGCUCAUCUCCUGGUGGAGAUCUGGGGAGCAAAACCAGACCCCCUACGGGAACAUGUACCUUUAAUGCUCAAGGCCAGUGCAAGAAAGGGAAGAAUUGCACUUCUCCUCAUGAAAGAGAGGGUUCUGGUUUUGGUAACCUGCGGAGUGCAGAAGAAAAGGCUGGUUCACUCUCAUCAGUUGGUUAUGGGAAACAUAGAGGCUCUGAAGAAGGAUCUGAAGCACAAGGUGUAUCCAACUUGAAUGAUCUGCACAAUUUUGCGGCUUCGUCAAAACAUGGGCUAUAUAGGACCCUCAUUCAUUCUUAUGGCGAAGAUCACAGGGGGCUGGCGCACAACCUGCCCAACCUAAAUAUUUCAGAAGAGAGGUCUUGCAGAACUGAUAAUUUAUGGACUACAAAGCCUACCCAUCCUGUAAAUGAGCUGGUGCAGAUCUCAGUAGUUCAAGGGAAGAACCACAAACCUAGUCUCAUGGGACACCACAUUAAUUUGCCCUCUGAUAGCUACUUGGAUGGCAGGGGAACCUUACCUAGGUUCCAUUUAGAUGGAGGAAAGCUGUUGCAGGAUCUGGAUGUGGCCAAAGCAAGCAGCCUAAGUGAUUCCCGUGUCUCUGAUUUUGGGUAUCGACCAUUUGACUCAUCUGUUUCAUCUGACCAUCUCCAAUAUGGUGAGAAGCUAUCUGCUUAUGGUGGAUCAACAGAAAAUUUUCCUCGCAAACAUCAGAAAGAACAUAGUUCAAGCUUUGCCUCAUAUGGCUCAAACAGUAUAACAGGGUUCAGAAGUCCAGGCCACAAUAGCUCUGCUCAUUCCUUGGGCAGCCAACCUUCUCGAGCAAUUACUCACCUAGGAAUGCCGUCCCUUCAUCAGUUAGCACCUGGUAUCGAGAAGUUUGGUCUCCAUAAAGAUGCUUAUUUUGACAAGGGCUGUGGUACAUCUAGGCCUGGGUUACGUGCAAGCAGUUCAUGUCAACCUGGGCACCUUUCCCCAAUCAAGGAUGACCCUUGGAUAACUUCAGUGCCUUUUGUACCUCUUGUUAAGUUUGCCAACAGUACAUCACCUUCAAAUAGUCCAUAUAAUCCACUUGCUGACAAUAUGGACCCUCCCAAAGUUGAAAGUAUCAAUAUUCUCAAGUCCUCGAACAUAUCGUGCAGCAUUUCAAGUCAGCACACUGCUGGUAAUGGUGUUAUCGAUGGAGAUAUCAACAAACCAUUGAUUUAUGAUGAUAAGUUGGCAAGGAAUAUGUCAGCAAAAGGGUCAAAUGAGUUUGCAGGCUUGGUUGCACCUGAUAAGGAACACUCUAGUCUGGAUGGUGAUACUUUGGUGAAAGCUUUUGAAAUAAUCAAAGAUGGAUCAAUUGACGAGAAAACGAGGGAUUUCCGUUUUCAUUUGGCAGAACAUGUGAAGGAGUUGCUGAAACCUAUUUGGAAGGAAGGCAAUCUGAGUAAAGAUGCUCAUAAACUGAUAGUGAAAAAAUCUGUUGAUAAAGUUCUUGCUUCAGUUGAGCUGCAUCAAGUACCAGCUACUAAAGAAUUGAUAACUGGUUAUAUAACCACGGCUGGAACAAAGAUUGAAAAGCUUGUGAAGGCAUAUGUUGUUAAGCAUCGUACAAGAUGAGAUCCAGACUUUUAAAUGCUGAGCUACAUCACCAUAGGCAUGGGCUUUCAGCCAGACACCUUUCUGAUGUGAUUAAUCUGCAGUCCAAUGUUGCUAGGCCUGAUCUGCUGUCCAAUGUUGCUAGGCCUGAUCUGCAGUCCAAUGUUGCUAGGCCUGAUCUGCAGUCUAAUGUUGCUAGGGCUGAUCAGUUUUAUUGGCAAGCUAGAUAUUUCCUAGUAAGCCAACCUCAAGUGAAGUGGAUUCAGGGAAGCAUUAAAUUUUGCAUCUUCAAGGUUGCCAGAUAUUAAAGUCGUCCUUGAGCCUGCUGUUAUCCUCAUUUUAUCAUUACUGACCAAACUGAUGAGAGCUGCCACAACAUGCAAACGAAAGAAACACAUCUAGCUCAUCCACCUUCUCAGAUCUUUUAUGGCCUAAGGCACAAAAUACAAUACUGUUCCUGCGUUACUAUGACCCUAAGGCACAAAGUAUUAAGAGUGUCUCUUGAUGUUAUUUUUCGUCUCUAAAAUGGCAAAGUUUUUGUUUCUGGACCCUAAUUGUUCCAGAUUGGGACUCUAAUACUAAAGAGUGUCCAUGUCCUGACUCGGCCACGAAGUGGUCCGACCUAACCUCUGCUUUCAAAUGCCUAUUCUCAGUUGCUCACCCAAAGCCCUAGAUCAGAAAUAGCUUGCUGGUCAGGCUGGGCUCUGCUUCCCAUGGGAACCGAUGCUUAACUCAGCCCUGCUCAGUGGGGCAGCUGGCUGCCCAUAUUCAUCGCCCGCCUCAUGCUCUGCCUCAGCCUCAGUGUUACAUUCUUUUCUCCAACAGCAAGGUGUGGUUUGGCUAUUGAUUUCGGUUCUGUUUUGCCCGUGAGACUAUUUGGAGACGGUGAAGGCUUUGGUUAACUUUUAAGAUCAACUUUAAUUUCUUGCGUGUUUUUUUUACCGGUAAACAGGCUUAUACUGUGCAGCCUUUGUUAUAUCGACUCUGAAACUAGAUGUGCCAUUGCUUUUCUCCCAUUUACGAGGAUGCCAUUCUUCUCUUUUUUUUUCCCGAAGCCGCACACUUAUAUAUUAACCAAUAAACACAGCCUGACAUACUGACCAUUCUGGACGAUUCCAAAACUACCUCCCAGCCCUCUCAAUUGUGUGCUCUGCUCGCUUCCCGAUUGAAUCCCCUUCUCCAAAAAUCCCUCGCCAAGUUCAGUGUGUCAGGUGAGGCUGCAGCACAAGCCUCCGUGGUACUUACGUGGCAUGCGUAAUUGAGCGGGACUGACGGCUGGCUCUGGAAAUGGAACCAGACGGCAACGUGGGCGUGUGAGUAGGGGCAAUGGCUGGCUGCGCGCGUGGAACCAGGUCAAGUGAGGUGCCUAGGCUUGUCUUGGAGGUUCCACUAAAUAUACAAUGCUUGGUCAUAACCUGAAGUAUGCCGAGAUGCUGAUGGGUGGAUUGUAUCCUGCUUGUGUUAGCUUAUGGGUUGUAUUUUAUUUACUAAUGGAUUAUGGAUUCUAUAGCAUAAGACCUGAUGGACUAUGGAUUCA